GGCUAUUUGGCGAGGGUCCAUUUAUAUGAUGGGCCACCCGGACCAAAACAGAGAGAUUUCAUCACUUCCUCCUCGCUGCUGCUCAUCUGUACACCUCACACUGACGAUGAUGCCGUGCCUGUUACUGCUCUGCAUGGUGCCCCAUUGCUGGUGGAGCUGACUGGACUAUUGAUUUGGGCUUUCCGGGAAUCCCAGUAAUGACAAAUCCUGUCCUGCCCGGAUGUGAAGCAUGUACUUGCAAGCUACUUGGUGAGGGAUCGCCAUAUCUAGUCCUUCGCUGCCGAACGAUCUCCUGCUUGCACCUUGUUGACCGCGCCAAGACACCUGCUAAUAUUUGGGUGGGCACUGGUCAGCCAGAGAAGGGGCCGUUGCGAGUAGAAUGCCCCGUAAUUGUCGUUAGUCGGCAGCUUCGGACUCCAGUGCCCGGGGUCGGUUGUAGUUGACCCAUUUUACUUUAGUUACCCUAAAAUAUAGUAGCGCCCCCUAGAUUCAGUAUGCCGUCCCUCGCAAGGAGAGCGAAGCCAGGGUGGCCGUUUUGUGUGUGUGUGUGUGUGAGUAUAUAUUACUUUCAAUUUUGUUUGAUUCAUGUUUUAACUUUAAAUGGCCCAGUAAGACAGAAAAGUUUUGAUACUCUUAAUUAUUAAUUUUUACCAAAA
rnacentral:misc_RNA from 1 species